UACGGGGGGGGCAAGCGUUGUUCGGAAUUAUUGGGCGUAAAGCGUGCGCAGGCGGUUUUGUAAGCCAGAUGUGAAAGCCCCGGGCUCAACCUGGGAAUGGCAUUUGGGACUGCAAGGCUGGAGUUUGGCAGAGGAGACUGGAAUUCCUGGUGUAGCAGUGAAAUGCGUAGAUAUCAGGAGGAAUACCGAUGGCGAAGGCAGGUCUCUGGGCUAUAACUGACGCUCAUGCACGAAAGCGUGGGGAGCAAACAGG
rnacentral:rRNA from 1 species